rnacentral:tmRNA from 1 species
GGGGGUGCAAAGGUUUCGACGGGGAUAGGAAGCAAAGGUUGCAUGCCGAGGUCCGGGUGGCUCGUAAAACAAUCCGGGACGCAUUAAGCGCCGACAAUUAUAACUACGCCGUAGCAGCUUAAUAACCUGCUACCGAUCCGCCAAGCCUCUCCCACGGGCGAAGAUGGAUCGUCAUUUUAGUGGGAUAGCCGACGGAAGAGCCUGUGUACCUGACGCGAAGCCUAAGCAGGAUCGCUGACGAAGAAUCCCGGCCAGUGGAGUCUUCGAUGGUUAAAUCAAUAACUGGUAUAAGCAUGUAGACGCCUUUAGUGUAUGAUCUUCGGACGCGGGUUCGAUUCCCGCCACCUCCACCA